AGUGAACGCUGGCGGUAGGCCUAACACAUGCGAGUCGAACGGCAGCACAGUAAGAGCUUGCUCUUACGGGUGGCGAGUGGCGGACGGGUGAGGAAUACAUCGGAAUCUACUUUUUCGUGGGGGAUAACGUAGGGAAACUUACGCUAAUACCGCAUACGACCUACGGGUGAAAGCAGGGGAUCUUCGGACCUUGCGCGAUUGAAUGAGCCGAUGUCGGAUUAGCUAGUUGGCGGGGUAAAGGCCCACCAAGGCGACGAUCCGUAGCUGGUCUGAGAGGAUGAUCAGCCACACUGGAACUGGGACACGGUCCAGACUCCUACGGGAGGCAGCAGUGGGGAAUAUUGGACAAUGGGCGCAAGCCUGAUCCAGCCAUACCGCGUGGGUGAAGAAGGCCUUCGGGUUGUAAAGCCCUUUUGUUGGGAAAGAAAAGCAGCAGGUUAAUACCCCGCUGUUCUGACGGUACCCAAAGAAUAAGCACCGGCUAACUUCGUG
rnacentral:rRNA from 1 species